rnacentral:rRNA from 1 species
AUUGAACGCUGGCGGCAUGCCUUACACAUGCAAGUCGAACGGCAGCACGGGUGCUUGCACCUGGUGGCGAGUGGCGAACGGGUGAGUAAUACAUCGGAACAUGUCCUGUAGUGGGGGAUAGCCCGGCGAAAGCCGGAUUAAUACCGCAUACGAUCUACGGAUGAAAGCGGGGGACCUUCGGGCCUCGCGCUAUAGGGUUGGCCGAUGGCUGAUUAGCUAGUUGGUGGGGUAAAGGCCUACCAAGGCGACGAUCAGUAGCUGGUCUGAGAGGACGACCAGCCACACUGGGACUGAGACACGGCCCAGACUCCUACGGGAGGCAGCAGUGGGAAAUUUUGGACAAUGGGCGAAGGCCUGAUCCAGCAAUGCCGCGUGUGUGAAGAAGGCCUUCGGGUUGUAAAGCACUUUUGUCCGGAAAGAAAUCCUUGGCCCUAAUACGGUCGGGGGAUGACGGUACCGGAAGAAUAAGCACCGGCUAACUACGUG